AGGGGUGUGGGCUAACCGGUAAGUCACCUCCCUGUUAAGGAGGUCGAUCCAGGUUCGAAUCCUGGCGCCCCUG
rnacentral:tRNA from 1 species